rnacentral:lncRNA from 1 species
AAGGGAAGGAAAGGAAGAAGAAGGGGAGAGAGACGCCGGCCUCGCCGCGCCGGAGGCGGCGAGGACUGGCGACGUCGCCGGGCGAGAGGGAGAGGGAAAGUGAGAGACGCAGGUGAGAGAACAGAGAGAAAUGGAGUCUGCGUAAAAAGAAAAAGAAGGAAGAAGAGAGAUGUUGACUUUAGUAUAUUCUAGACUUACGUUCUAUUUAGUUUUUAAUUUAUUUUGAUUAAUUGGGCUUUGAGAAUUUCAUAUUGGGUUUAAAUAAUACUUAGGCCAUUAAUUGCUAUUGGACCUUAGUAAUAAAUUAGAUUAUGGACUUAAUUAUUGGUUUGGGUCCUUAAUUCAUUUAAUUGAGAUGAGUUUAUUUUAAUUUAAGCCUAUAAAUAUGUAUAAAGGAUUAUUAGCUAUUUGCUAAUAAUUGGCUUGAUUUAUUAAAUGGCCUAGACAUAUAAUUAAAUUAUGCUAAUACUCUAUGUAAUUAUGCAUAAAUUAGACACUAGAUUAUUAUAGAAUCAAAUUCUUGAAAGAAGAGAAAAAUAGAUUUAUAUUAUUUCCAGUUAAUAGCUAUUUAUUAAAUUAGAAUGAGUAGAGUUAUGAUUAACGCUAGAGUUAUGAGUAUUGCAGUUUAAGUUUAUGUUGGUAUUUGUUGAUAAGUUUGCUAAAUAGCAACUAGUCUUUAUACCAUAAUUUCAAUAGAGCUAUCAUCUUAAAACCAACAUAAGCAUUCUUUAUAAAUCAAGUCCCUAUCAUUUCCUCAUUAUUUAUUAGUCAGUUUUUAUACUGAAGGUCAGAUACAAGCAAGGGUAAAGCAAUAGUUCAGAAUUACUAGUGUUGUCAGACCACGAUCAGGUGGGCUUUCUAAACUCAAAAUCUGAAGUGCAUAUUAUUUCAUAAUGUUUACAUGAAUGAAGUUAUACUAAUUAAAGUUAUUGACUUGCCAAAAAUUUUGUGAGCUAAUAUGAUACCUAUCUGGCACCAGAAGUUAAUCGAAUUCGGAUCCUGUUCUAUCAAGAUGUUAGACAGGAUUAGUGUACACAAGGGACCGUGAGCCGAUCAAGCAUAUCGGCCGGCCUAGGACCGUGAGCCGGUUUAGCGUAUCGGCCGGUCUAGGACCGUGAGCCGGUUUAGCGUAUCGGCCGGUCAGUGACCGUAGAAGGUGGCCACCUUCUCGGCACACAGUUAUCAUUGCAGAUAUGGUAUAAUACAAAGAAGUAUGUCUGCAGACGNGCGUAAAAAGAAAAAGAAGGAAGAAGAGAGAUGUUAACUUUAGUAUAUUCUAGACUUAAGUUCUAUUUAGUUUUUAAUUUAUUUUGAUUAAUUGGGCUUUGAGAAUUUCAUAUUGGGUUUAAAUAAUACUUGGGCCAUUAAUUGCUAUUGGACCUUAGUAAUAAAUUAGAUUAUGGACUUAAUUAUUGGUUUGGUCCUUAAUUCAUUUAAUUGAGAUGAGUUUAUUUUAAUUUAAGCCUAUAAAUAUGUAUAAAGGAUUAUUAGCUAUUUGCUAAUAAUUGGCUUGAUUUAUUAAAUGGCCUAGACAUAUAAUUAAAUUAUGCUAUUACUCUAUGUAAUUAUGCAUAAAUUAGACACUAGAUUAUUAUAGAAUCAAAUUCUUGAAAGAAGAGAAAAAUAGAUUUAUAUUAUUUCCAGUUAAUAGCUAUUUAUUAAAUUAGAAUGAGUAGAGUUAUGAUUAACGCCAGAGUUACAAUUAUCGUAGUUUAAGUUUUGGUUUAGAUAAUAUGUUGGUAUUUAUUGAUAAGUUCACCAGGUAGCAAUCAAUCAUCAUUUUAUAAGUUCAAAUAGAACUAUCACCUUAAAACCAACAUAAGUAUUCUCUAAAUAAAUUUCAUAUCAUGUUCUCAUUAUUUAUUAAUCAGUUUUUAUACUGAAGGUCAGAUACAAGCAAGGGUAAAGCAAUAGUUCAGAAUUACUAGUGUUGUCAGACCACGAUCAGGUGGGCUUUCUAAACUCAAAAUCUGAAGUGCACACUAUUUCAUGAUGUUUACAUGAAUGAAGUUAUAUUAAAGUUAUUGACUUGCCAAAUUAUUUUAUGAGCUUGUAUGAUACCUAUCUGGCACCAGAAGUUAAUCGAAUCCGGAUCCUGUUCUAUCCAAAUGUUAGACAGGAUUAGUGUACACAAGGGACCGUGAGCCGAUCAAGCAUAUCGGCCGGCCUAGGACCGUGAGCCGGUUUAGCGUAUCGGCCGGUCUAGGUCCGUGAGCUGGUUUAGCGUAUCGGCCGGUCUAGGACCGUGAGCCGAUUUAGCGUAUCGGCCGGUCAGUGACCGUAGAAGGUGGCCACCUUCUCGGCACACAGUUAUCAUUG